UACGUAGGGUGCGAGCGUUAAUCGGAAUUACUGGGCGUAAAGCGUGCGCAGGCGGUUUUGUAAGCCAGAUGUGAAAUCCCCGGGCUUAACCUGGGAAUGGCAUUUGGGACUGCAAGGCUGGAGUGCGGCAGAGGAGACUAGAAUUCCUGGUGUAGCAGUGAAAUGCGUAGAUAUCAGGAGGAACACCGGCGGCGAAGGCGGGUCUCUGGGCCAUAACUGACGCUGAGGAGCGAAAGCGUGGGGAGCGAACAGG
rnacentral:rRNA from 1 species